AUACUUACCAGGCGGGGGAGAUGCCAUGAUCAUGCAGAUGGUUUUCCUAGGGAGGCUUACCCAUUGCACUCCAGAUGUGCUGACCCCUGUGAGUUCCCCAUAUGUGGGAAAGUGGACUGCAUAAUUUGUGGUAGUGGGGGACUUGUUCUCACUCUCCCCUG